UACAGAGGUCUCAAGCGUUGUUCGGAUUCAUUGGGCGUAAAGAGCUCGUAGGCGGUGUGUCGCGUCGGCCGUGAAAACCUGCAGCUUAACUGUGGGCUUGCGGUCGAUACGGGCAUCACUGGAGUUCGGCAGGGGAGACUGGAAUUCCUGGUGUAGCGGUGAAAUGCGCAGAUAUCAGGAGGAACACCGGUGGCGAAGGCGGCCUUCUGGACAGUGACUGACGCUGAGACGCGAAAGCGUGGGGAGCAAACAGG
rnacentral:rRNA from 1 species